AGACGCGGAAGAGGACUUGGUGAGCGCGCGGCAGCUUUAUUAAACCACGGGAUAACGGCUGCCCGCAGCCUCCGGAUCGGUGGGCGCUUGCGGAAGGGGACCCGGCUCAGGGCCCAGGGCUGGGACUCAGCCACUCUGACAGGUUGGAGACCUCCUGCAGCCACAGCACGUCCUGCGGGAACAAGGGGGCCCGGGGUGAGGACCUCUCAGCAGCGGCCCGUGGCCUGCACCUCCUGCUGAGCCCUUCCCUGCGCGGCCCUCGCCCAGUUACCUCCAGGCGG
rnacentral:lncRNA from 1 species